GUAACAGAGACAGUAGACAGACAGUAGUAACGGAGAGGGGAGACAACAAACGGUAGUAACAGAGACAGUAGACAGACAGUAGUAACGGAGAGGGGAGACAGUAGAGAGUAGUAACAGAGAUGAGAGACAGUAGACAGACGGUAGUAACGGAGAGGAGAGAGACAGUAGACAGUAGACAAACGGUAGUAACGGAGACAGUAGACAGUAGACAGGCGGUAGUAACGGAGAGGAGAGACAGGAGACAGACAGUAGUAACGGAGAGGGGAGUGACAGUAGACAGACGGUAAUAACGGAGAGGAGAGAGACCGUAGAAAGACGGUAGUAACAGGGAGGAGAGACAGUAGACAGAUGGUAGUAAUGGAGAGGAGAGAGACAGUAGACAGACAGUAGUAACGGAGAGGAGAGAGACAGUAGACAAACGGUAGUAACAGAGACAGUAGACAGACGGUAGUAACGGAGACAGUAGACAAACGGUAGUAACGGAGACAGUAGACAGACGGUAGUAACGGAGAGGAGAGACAGGAGACAGACGGUAGUAAUGGAAAGACAGUAGACAGACAGUAGUAACGGAGAGGGGAGACAGUAGACAGACGGUAGUAAUGGAGAGGAGAGAGACAGUAGACAGUAGACAAACGGUAGUAACGGAGACAGUAGACAGUAGACAAACGGUAGUAACGGAGACAGUAGACAGACGGUAGUAACGGAGAGGAGAGAGACAGUAGACAAACGGUAGUAACAGAGACAGUAGACAGACAGUAGUAACGGAGAGGGGAGACAGUAGAGAGUAGUAACGGAGACAGUAGACAGUAGACAGGCGGUAGUAACGGAGAGGAGAGACAGGAGACAGACGGUAGUAACGGAGAGACAGUAGACAGACGGUCCUAACGGAGACAGUAGUAACGGAGACGGGAGCGACAGUAGUAACGGAGACGGGGGCGACAGUAGACAGUAGUAACGGAGACAGUAUAAUGGAGAGGGGAGCGACAGUAGACAGUAGAAACGGAGACGGGAGCGACAGUAGUAACGGAGACUGUAGUAACGGAGACGGGAGCGACAGUAGACAGUAGUAAUGGAGACAGUAGACAGUAGUAACGGAGAGGGGAGCGACAGUAGACAAACGGUAGUAACGGAGACAGUAGUAACGGAGACAGUAGACAGUAGUAACGGAGACAGUAGACAGUAGUAACGGAGACAGUAGACAGUAGUAACGGAGACAGUAGUAACAGAGACAGUAGACGGUAGUAACGGAGACAGUAGACAGUAGUAACGGAGACAGUAGACAGUAGUAACGGAGAGGGGAGCGACAGUAGACAAACGGUAGUAAAGGAGACAGUAGUAACGGAGAGAGUAGUAACGGAGACAGUAGUCAGUAGUAACGGAGAGGGGAGCGACAGUAGACAGACGGCAGUAACAGAGAGGGGAGCGACAGUAGACAGACGAUAGUAACGGAGAGGAGAGACACAGUAGACAGACGGUAGUAACAGAGACAGUAGACAGACGGUAGUAACGGAGAGGAGAAAGACGGUAGUAACGGAGAGGGGAGACACAGUAGACAGACGGUAGUAACGGAGAGGGGAGUGACAGUAGACAGACGGUAAUAACGGAGAGGAGAGAGACCGUAGAAAGACGGUAGUAACAGAGAGGAGAGACAGUAGACAGAUGGUAGUAAUGGAGAGGAGAGAGACAGUAGACAGACAGUAGUAACGGAGAGGAGAGAGACAGUAGACAAACGGUAGUAACAGAGACGGUAGACAGACGGUAGUAACGGAGAGGAGAGACAGGAGACAGACGGUAGUAACGGAAAGACAGUAGACAGACAGUAGUAACGGAGAGGAGAGACAGUAGAGAGUAGUAACAGAGAUUAGAGACAGUAGACAGACGGUAGUAACGGAGAGGAGAGAGACAGGAGACAGACGGUAGUAACGGAAAGACAGUAGACAGACAGUAGUAACGGAGAGGAGAGACGGUAGAGAGUAGUAACAGAGAUUAGAGACAGUAGACAGACGGUAGUAACGGAGAGGAGAGACAGUAGAUAGACUGUAGUAAUGGAGAGGAGAGAGACAGUAGACAAACAGUAGUAAUGGAGAGGAGACAGACAGUAGACAGUAGACAAACGGUAGUAACAGAGACAGUAGACAGUAGACAAACGGUAGUAACGGAGACAGUAGACAGACGGUAGUAACGGAGAGGAGAGAGACAGUAGACAAACGGUAGUAACAGAGACAGUAGACAGACAGUAGUAACGGAGAGGGGAGACAGUAGAGAGUAGUAACAGAGAUGAGAGACAGUAGACAGACGGUAGUAACGAAGAGGAGAGA
ensembl:lncRNA